GGGAUAUACUUAGAACCCCAAGAUUGUUGUGUUAAUAGCAGUGUCUUUGGCCGGGCAUUGCGGUUAGUGAAUC
rnacentral:ncRNA from 1 species